AGCAGAAGUGAUGUGUGGAGAAUGUGUCAGCAAAGUAUUUGGGAGGUAGUAUCCCUUUAAGAGACUGUCUGAGGGAAAUGACUUGAACCGUUUGUACAUAACUGACUGCCUUGUAGUCCAUAUGCUCCCUGAAUGUUGUUGUUUCAUGUUGUAUAUUAAACCACAGUUCUUUUGAUAAACCACUGUCAGAUGUUUGUGAUCCUGUGUUGCACAAGAAGAAAACAAAUAAAAGGCUGCAAUAAUUUAUAUUUAUCAACAACACAGAGGAGACAAGGAGAAGCUGAAGAGUUUGUCCAUGUGCACUCUAGAAGGCAGUCAAGUUCUAUGAACUAAGGGGGGAAAAAUCAAGCUUGCAGCCUCGGUGAAGCUUGUUAAUGGACACUGAGUGACCAAACUCCACUUUCUUAACUAUCUUAUUUAAACAUUUUAGAGAUCUUUGGAAUUGCAGUGAAAAUUGACUAUCUGGUGAUUAUUCCUACAACAUGGGCCAUGAUUAAAAGGAAAGAGAAAAGGAAAAAAAGUGUAAGAAUUUAAAAACAAUCUACAGUAAAAAGAUCUGCAAAAAGAAGGGACAGAUGGAAUUUCCAGGGAAGAAAUGGCAAACUGAGAAUGGAACCAACAACUGUGAUGGAAUAAAGAAUCUGACUGACAAGCUGACAUCAUGACUAUUCUACAAAAAAGAGGAUAGGGACCACUCACAAGUGUUCCAGGCAGCUGCUACUCAUGAGAAGAGCAGAAAAUAAUAUUUUCCAAUGGGUUUAGAGUGCUGAGAGAUGGGGGAGGAACCAUUAUAGCCCAAACUACAGUUCAACAAUUUUAAAAAGGACACAAGGUUCACAUACAGGCAGUCUUUGACUUAUAGCCACAGUGGAGCUCAGAAUUUCUAUCCUACGUUACUGUGGUCUUAAUUCAAGACACCAUGUGAACAGAUUCAGUUUUGCAACUGUUUUUAAGACCAUCAUACAGCAAAAAGCUGCAAUCAUUAAAUAAAUCCAAUCUCCUGAAUAGGCCAAAACCCAGCAAAACAUGCUAGAAACUAGUAAAAAAAAAACAUAACAAACCAUGGUCAUGUGACUGUGAUAGGUGCAGUCUGCUUGCCAAGCAUCCAAAAUGUAAUCACAUGACUAUGUAAGUAGCUUCUUUUAAAGUCCAUCAUAACUGAACAGUAAUUAAAUUUCCUUCUUCUAA